CAGUAAAACAAAAGAUUACACUGUAAAAUAUUAUUUUUUGUGAUUGUAAAUAAAGAUAGUAUAAUUUAAGUACAUUUUACAAACAAAUUCUAUUUUCUCUUUUUAUUUGAAAAUGUUACGUUUAAUUCAAUAAACUAUUUGAGGUUUUGAUGUAAUUUAUUGCACUUGAAUACAUAGUAUUCAAAUAGAGUAAACUCAAAUGGAAAUUCCCAAGCAUUAUUUACGUUGUAUUUUGUCAUUUAAUGAACUAAUGCAAAAAUGGCAAACUCAAGUAAAGCUUACUCCACGAAGCCAGGCAAUCUAUGCGCAUGCUCCCUUGGGUCAGAAGUGGCGCGCAGAAGCAAAGAAAACCAAAGGAUGUUUUCUCGAAGAAGGUUUAUACACGAACUUGUUGACAUGGCAUCUCGCUUGUGCUGUACCUACGGUGCAUGCAGAAAACAAGUAAUGGCUACGCACGACAAAGAAGUCCACACGACGUGCAGGCAGCCCGCAGCAACCCAGAGACAAACAGAAAGGAACUUCCUCAGAACAUAGACAAACUCACCGUUCCAUCCAAACACUUUCUGUCUGGCUGCUGUUGCCCUGAAAACACAGACAGCAGGAAAUGUUGGCUGGUUCACAAACAGAUGCAGGAGACCCCAGACACUCACAGCUGCUGUCAGAAUUGGUGCGUUCAGCUUUGCUGUGUCGAUUUGUGGAGCGGAUUCUUCUCAGG